UACGUAGGGUGCGAGCGUUGUCCGGAAUUAUUGGGCGUAAAGGGCUCGUAGGCGGUUUGUCGCGUCGGGAGUGAAAACACUGGGCUUAACUCAGUGCUUGCUUUCGAUACGGGCAGACUAGAGGUAUGCAGGGGAGAACGGAAUUCCUGGUGUAGCGGUGAAAUGCGCAGAUAUCAGGAGGAACACCGGUGGCGAAGGCGGUUCUCUGGGCAUGUCCUGACGCUGAGGAGCGAAAGUGUGGGGAGCGAACAGG
rnacentral:rRNA from 1 species